GAUGAACGCUGGCGGCGUGCCUAAUACAUGCAAGUCGAGCGAACAGAUAAGGAGCUUGCUCCUUUGACGUUAGCGGCGGACGGGUGAGUAACACGUGGGUAACCUACCUAUAAGACUGGGAUAACUUCGGGAAACCGGAGCUAAUACCGGAUAACAUUUGGAACCGCAUGGUUCUAAAGUGAAAGAUGGUUUUGCUAUCACUUAUAGAUGGACCCGCGCCGUAUUAGCUAGUUGGUAAGGUAACGGCUUACCAAGGCGACGAUACGUAGCCGACCUGAGAGGGUGAUCGGCCACACUGGAACUGAGACACGGUCCAGACUCCUACGGGAGGCAGCAGUAGGGAAUCUUCCGCAAUAGGCGAAAGCCCGACGGAGCAACGCCGCGUGAGUGAUGAAGGGUUUCGGCUCGUAAAACUCUGUUAUUAGGGAAGAACAAAUGUGUAAGUAACUGUGCACGUCUUGACGGUACCUAAUCAGAAAGCCACGGCUAACUACGUG
rnacentral:rRNA from 1 species